AGUGAACGCUGGCGGUAGGCCUAACACAUGCAAGUCGAACGGCAGCACAGUAAGAGCUUGCUCUUACGGGUGGCGAGUGGCGGACGGGUGAGGAAUACAUCGGAAUCUACUUUUUCGUGGGGGAUAACGCAGGGAAACUUACGCUAAUACCGCAUACGACCUACGGGUGAAAGCAGGGGAUCUUCGGACCUUGCGCGAUUGGAUGAGCCGAUGUCGGAUUAGCUAGUUGGCGGGGUAAAGGCCCACCAAGGCGACGAUCCGUAGCUGGUCUGAGAGGAUGAUCAGCCACACUGGAACUGAGACACGGUCCAGACUCCUACGGGAGGCAGCAGUGGGGAAUAUUGGACAAUGGGCGCAAGCCUGAUCCAGCCAUACCGCGUGGGUGAAGAAGGCCUUCGGGUUGUAAAGCCCUUUUGUUGGGAAAGAAAAGCAGCAGGUUAAUACCCCGCUGUUCUGACGGUACCCAAAGAAUAAGCACCGGCUAACUUCGUG
rnacentral:rRNA from 1 species